GAAACAACUGUGGUUCCUACUGAUUUUUUUCAYAAAUCAGGAAAAUGACAAAUUUUUCAAAUGUGUCAAGGGAGUGACAGGCUCUUCUUUACAGUAUUUAAUUAAUAUGAGYUAGUUUUAUUUUUAACCUUUUAAUUAUAUUUAGAAYUUUGUCAUUGCUGACCRCACUUAGAAAUAUUGUUUUUUUCUUUUAGUUUCUUUAACAGGGUGGCCCUCUGGCUYUAUAUUCAUAUUCCCUUGCUUACUGGAAAACAAAGUACUUAUUAAACUCAUUUGCAAUUUGCUGAGGCUCUAUUAAUGUUAUAUCGCCUUAUAAAGGGUUUUAUGGUUUUAUUUGUUCUUUCUUUAAUUAAUUAUAUGUCACAUUAUUUUUGUCAUAUAACCUUUUUUAAGUAAUUAUAUAUUUAAUAUAGUUGUAAUGAAAUAGUUUAAUUAUGUAAAAAACAAAACAAACAAAUUGGCAUGCGUGUUGUGUAUGUAUACAUGCGUAGUAUGUAGUAGUGAGGUGGUUACCGGCGGCUGGCGCGGCGGCGGGCUGGGGUACAGCCGCGGGGCUCCGGCCUCGAGCGACUUGUAGCGCGGCGGACACCGCGAGACGGAUCUGGUCGAUGCGCGAAGGCGGCUGACUGCCUGCCGAGCGUGCGUGCGUGCGGUGUGUGCGCGCACUUGCAAACGAACGACGAUGUGAUGUAUCACAUUCACAUCUGAAAUGAAACAAGUGUGAGAAGCACGCGACUGUACGACGCAAUAAAGACGACGACGGCUACUUGUAAAAUGUUGUAAUAUAAUAAUAUUAUAAUAAUCACAUGUAGAUAUACGUCGUCGUCUGGCCCUCUCUGUCGACCAAUUGGGACUGUGCAUGCGCAUGUCACAUGUGUAUGUACACCAAGUCCAGAUUUGGUCGGGCAAGGGCGCGCAGUAUGCUGAACGGAAGAAAUCGCCGGUAAGGCAUAUUAUAUAUGCGCGUCCGCAUCAAGAGCGAGGACGCUGCGCAAGCGUUAGUCACCACCGCAGUGGGGUGGUGACACAACGCGAAACGUUAGCGCUCUCGUUCGCAAAAUUAUCGUAUAAUCAAACACAACGCGUGUCAUACGACGUGUGUAAGGCCCCCCUAACACCGGGCGUUCAGACGAGAUUGUAUACGCUUGUAAUGUUAAACGAAAUUUUACAAAGCGUUGCGUCUAUUAGCGAACGUUCGAUGACGGUCUACGUAAGCGCUCCGUGGUGAGAUGAGAUACUCUCGCUUCGGCGUGCGGUUAGACCACCUAGGUCGAGGUGUUCUCUUUGUUCAUGGUUUAGCCGCUGUGUCCAAGGGUCCCCUCGGCCGCUGUGUUCUCGAUCUAACGACGAGGCACGCGCCGCGUAUCGUACGAUUUUCGAACGAACGCGGCGUUUCGUGUGGGCUGUGGUGGUAGACGUGGUCUCGUACYAUGUCGCCCACGACGGCCAAUCACACGCACGCUCACUCGCGCUCGCGCGCACCCUUGAGGGUGCGCACGGCACGCGCGCUGUGU
rnacentral:misc_RNA from 1 species